ACGGGAGGCAGCAGUGAGGAAUAUUGGUCAAUGGGCGCGAGCCUGAACCAGCCAAGUAGCGUGAGGGAUGACUGCCCUAUGGGUUGUAAACCUCUUUUGUUUGGGAAUAAAGUCAGGGACGCGUCCCUGUUUGUAUGUACCUUUCGAAUAAGCAUCGGCUAAUUCCGUGCCAGCAGCCGCGGUAAUACGGAAGAUGCGAGCGUUAUCCGGAUUUAUUGGGUUUAAAGGGAGCGUAGGCGGACUGUUAGGUCUGUGGUCAAAUGUCAGGGCCCAACCUUGGCAUGCCAUGGAAACCGGCGGUCUUGAAUACACGCAAGGCAGAUGGAAUUCGUCGUGUAGCGGUGAAAUGCUUAGAUAUGUCACAGAACACCGAUUGCGAAGGCAGCUGACUAAUCCGCAACUGACGCUCAGGCACGAAAGCGUGGGGAUCGAACAGGAUUAGAUACCCUGGUA
rnacentral:rRNA from 1 species